rnacentral:rRNA from 1 species
UACGUAGUUGGCGCGCGUUGUCCGGAAUUACUGGGUGUAAAGCGCGUGUAGGCGGCAGGCCAAGUCGGUGGUGAAAGCGCCCGGCUCAACUGGGCGAGGUCCAUGGAAACUGGUCAGCUGGAGGACGGUAGAGGCGAGUGGAAUUCCCGGUGUAGUGGUGAAAUGCGCAGAUAUCAGGAGGAACACCGGUGGCGAAGGCGGAUCUCUGGGCCGAUACUGACGCUGAGGAGCGAAAGCGUGGGGAGCGAACAGG